AACAAAAAAGCAUAUAAUCAUAACACUAACAAAUAACCAUGUCUAACCGGGUGUAUCUGACCACCAUAAGAUCCUGCAUUCAAAAUAAAUGCAAAAGUAACCCAGACAAAAACCGACAUGCAAUCAAUAAGCAGAAAAGGGGCGCUUCACAGAUGUAGAAGAGUAGAAUAGACGUGAGUGGUUCUAGUGUGUUCUUUUGUUUGUUGUGUGUGGUUUGAAGUGAGAUGGUAAGCUGAUUAUUUAAAACCCAUAGAAAGUCGAAAUAGAUGUUAAGUUGAACUUUAAAAUCCAAAAGCAAAUCCCAGCUCCUGCCAAAUAUAACUA